rnacentral:rRNA from 1 species
GAUGAACGCUGGCGGCGUGCCUAAUACAUGCAAGUCGAGCGAACAGACGAGGAGCUUGCUCCUCUGACGUUAGCGGCGGACGGGUGAGUAACACGUGGAUAACCUACCUAUAAGACUGGGAUAACUUCGGGAAACCGGAGCUAAUACCGGAUAAUAUAUUGAACCGCAUGGUUCAAUAGUGAAAGACGGUUUUGCUGGCACUUAUAGAUGGAUCCGCGCCGCAUUAGCUAGUUGGUAAGGUAACGGCUUACCAAGGGAACGAUGCGUAGCCGACCUGAGAGGGUGAUCGGCCACCCUGGAACUGGGCCACGGUCCAGACUCCUACGGGAGGCCGCAGUAGGCAAUCUUCCGCAAUGGGCGAAAGCCUGACGGAGCAAGGCCGCGUGAGUGAUGACGGUCUUCGGAUCGUAAAACUCUGUUAUUAGGGAAGAACAAAUGUGUAAGUAACUAUGCACGUCUUGACGGUACCUAAUAAGAAAGCCCCGGCUAACUACGUG